GUGGGGAAUAUUGGACAAUGGGGGGAACCCUGAUCCAGUCAUGCCGCGUGUGUGAAGAAGGCCUUUUGGUUGUAAAGCACUUUAAGCGAGGAGGAGGCUACCGAGAUUAAUACUCUUGGAUAGUGGACGUUACUCGCAGAAUAAGCACCGGCUAACUCUGUGCCAGCAGCCGCGGUAAUACAGAGGGUGCAAGCGUUAAUCGGAUUUACUGGGCGUAAAGCGCGCGUAGGUGGCCAAUUAAGUCAAAUGUGAAAUCCCCGAGCUUAACUUGGGAAUUGCAUUCGAUACUGGUUGGCUAGAGUAUGGGAGAGGAUGGUAGAAUUCCAGGUGUAGCGGUGAAAUGCGUAGAGAUCUGGAGGAAUACCGAUGGCGAAGGCAGCCAUCUGGCCUAAUACUGACACUGAGGUGCGAAAGCAUGGGGAGCAAACAGGAUUAGAUACCCGGGUAGUCC
rnacentral:rRNA from 1 species